UUUUAUUUUGAAUUUACACUUUUGACCUCAGCCCAAAACAAUUUCUGGAGAAAGGCUAACGAUCCAAGAGAUUAGUUUGGAAAAUGUCCAUAGUAAACAUUCUCAAAGCACGUUUCUUCAGCACUUCAAUUUUAUCGUGUGCUUUAGCUUUGAUCGGCUCUAUAUGCGAUGCCAUUGUACGUGAACAGAGCAUUGUAAUUGUCAAGGCUCUGUCAUUUCUGUCUCGUUUCAUUCUGGUUUUAUUGUCGAUUGUCUGUAUAGUGACUUUUCUGGCUCUUUUGGUGACUGAAAGUUUCAUUUCUCUGCGCAAUUUGUAUCAUAGAAUCUGGCCUGUAACUCCUCCAGACAGCAUUUGUAUUGUGUGUCUCACCAAUCCAAAGGAAUUUUUGAGCAAACCUUGUAACCAUUUUUCUCUGUGUGAGGAAUGUAUUCGACUCUUGGAUGAAUGCCCCAUUUGCAGGUCCAUAAUAGAACAUAAAGAAAGAAUUUAUACAAAUUGAACUGAUUUUUAGUGUCAUGCUAGAAUGUAAUUACGCCUUUAUUACAAUGUGGGUGUACUGUUUGCCAUGGGUAGAUUCACUGAAUAGAAAAAUUAAUUUGCUAGUAAAACUUUUAUUUUUAUCAAUUAACCCUUUUGUGCUUUUUCUUGACAAUGACUGCAUGUACAGCAUGUAUUAA